CAAAGGGUUUAGUUUAAUUAGCGUUUACUUUUAGAUAAUUUUAUUGUGCAUACGUUCUGGCCAGAGCCAUUACUGGGGAGGUGUUGCCCUUCAGGGCUCACCCAGGACAAGGGACAGCUCCUCACAGCACGGGGAGCCUGGGGCCUGCCUGGGACAGAUUUCACCCUAACAAAUGUUUGUAACUGGAGGAAGGCACUGGAGCAUGCAUUCUAUGGUAUUUGCCCAUAUAUGCCUUUGGGAAGUGUUUAAACUCCUUCCCAGUAAUUGAUCGGGCAGUCCGUGCUAGCGGGAAGCCUCCACGGCUCUGCUCAGCACACAACUCUUCGGAACGCUGGGAGCGGGGCGCCAUCGUCUGGAAAAGCUGGGAACGGCCUGGAAGGCUCCCAGGUGAGGAGAGACUGUCCAUACAGCUGAGUCAGACCUGUUCUCACAGGGGAAACAAACACGAGAAAUCUGAAAAAAAAAAAUGCACAAUAAUUGUAUGCUAUGUUGAACUAUAGAGCACCAUCUUAACUAUGAAAAUGUUUGUUUACAGUGUUUUUCUCAAAAAUUCUGUUUUACACUUAAAAGGUCAGAUACUAGACUUAGGUAACUGCUUUUAUAAGUUCACGUUUCAUCAGUUUAUUUAGGGAUUUAUUAAAUAAUUUCUUUGUGUGUGCUUUGGGAAAAGAAAUAAAAAGAUUGCAGGGACUUGGGUGCUCUUAAUGCACCUGGGAUGAAAGCACAUUUUUAGUCUGCUUGCCAUCUGGGUCCUUUUGUUUAUUCAUCAGCUGAACUAAAUAUCCCUGUGUGUAUCAGUACUUAGUUUACUAUGUAAAACAAUGCAAAACAAACUCUAUACAGACAGCACUGAUGAUUUAUUUACCCUCAUGUACUGGCUGAUAAUGGUCCUGGAGAAACAACUUAUCUUUUUACCAUGUAUAAUAAUAAGGCAAUCAUGAAACAGUCAUCUUAAGGAUAAAAUUAUACUUUUGUUUAUGAAAUGACGGUUUUCCUUCCCCUACAUAAAUUGAUGCCAUAAAAGGUGUAAAUGCUUCAUAGCUGUAAUAAAUGUAGUUAUUUUAUCCUGCAUAUUUAGCACCAGUUGCUUUCAAACUGUGAAAUACUGAGAGAAGACAAUGUAGUAAAGGAAAAUAGAGAUAAAAGAGCAAAAAUACUCAAAAGAGCAAAUAUAAUGAUGAGGAUAUCAUCAUUUUACAGCUUUACACACAGAAGGCAGCUACACGUGUGUUUUAAGAGCAGAUUGCUGUGGUGGCUGCAAAACAGUAAAUGGAAAGGAUCCAUAUUUAUUCUAGUAGCUUCCAUAGUUGUGUCAGGUAUUUCAGAGAAUGAAAGAGCAUGUAGGGUCCUUCCUAGAGCAUUCAGGUGUGGAAAAUGGAAUAAGAAGAGUAGAUCAGUAGGGGAUUUUCCAGCUCCAGAGCACAGAGACAGUCAGUGCCCAGCACGAUUUGGUAUAGAGGGGAGGAGAGGGUGAAACUGGAAAAGUAAUUAAGAGUGGGGAAUGUGAAGGAUGUUUAUAUUUUUUUUUUAUGGUAGAGAGGGAAUCUAGAGGCUUUCAGAUUACGUCUUUCCUGUGAAUUAGCAACUUGGAUAGAAGGCUUUUUUUUUUUAAUUUGUUGGUCAAAGAGGAAAUUACCUUUGGGCAAAGACAGGCCCGUAUUUGAACGGCACUGUUCUUGGGGUGUGUUCCACACCUGGUGCAGUGAGAGAAGCUCCUGGUGACCCUGCAAGCAGCAGGUGCCCAGAGUGUGAGCUGGACAUUAUUAAUGAAACUGUGGAGAGGACAGGAUAUGGCAAGAAAACAGAGAGGGAAGCUGAGAGCAGUGGCAUAAUGCAAAGAGCUGGUGAAACAUGACAUUUGAGCUACGUGUGCUCACUCCUGAAAAAACUGAACGUGUCCAGAGCAGCCAUCAAGAAAAAAAGACCUUAGCAAUGUUCUUUUGGAUAGAGGGAAAUGAGCUGGAUAUUUCCCUUCCCUUGAGAUCCCAAGGGACCUUCUUCUCUGGCAAUGGAUUUGUUUAUUGGACUAGGAAGCUGCUGCAGUAUGUGCCAUGUCUUUUACCCAACUACCCAUCUUUGUAUAUUACACUUACAGUUAUUUGUAGAGAGAAAUAAUGCAUUAACAGCCCUGCCCUGAGCAUCAGUGCAGUGUCCUCAUGAGAUCCCACCAAAAUACCUGAACAGAAUCCUUGCCACUCGUUACUUGAUGGGUGUCUUCCGGAGUUUUUGCUUCUAUGUCAGAAAAUUACUUUUAAAUGCCAGCCUUCUGCUUUUCUGAGUCACUCUGCCACUUGGGAGUGAUUCUGCAAGAAAUAGCAGAUAUGUACAGUAGUGAGAUAAUUGAAGACCAGAUUCAAGUAUGACAUUUUAAAUGGUAAUUCUGCUGGUGAAGAAAUAAAUGCUGCUGGUAUUGAAAAGACAAAAUGUCAACACAAUUAAAAACAAAAACCAAACCAUGUAAUUAAGCAAGGAAAACAUUCAGAAACAAAAUAUGUUUCUGAUAAUUUUCUUCUUAGGAUAAGAACACUUCAGAAGGGAAGAGUAGGCUGUGAGGGUUUGCAGUCUACUCAUAUGAAAAUGUUUUAUUGACUCAUAUGAGUAGGUUGUCAUCAAAACUGUAUCUGUGCUUCAGAAAAGGAUGAGUGACAAUCACAGAUUUAGAAAGGAUAAACCUUCUCCCAGCGUGGACUUUCAGGAGUGGCAGAAUUUUCUCAGGAUUUCAUCUGUUCAGUCAGCAAGAGCAUUCCAGCACAGCUCUGGAAGCCAGGGAUACUGGUUGUGGAAACCUGCUUGCAUCUUGGAAGUUUUUUGUUUAGAAAGAAGUUCUGUCAAGUAUAUGCAUUUUCAUUUCAGGCAGAGGAUUUGUUAGAAGGAAAAGAAUAGUGUAAGAGUGUGUAAACUAUCUUAGCCAUAUUAAAUAAUCUGGCUUGGAAAAACAUGAAACCUCAUUUGUAAUAAUGCCCCUUUUCUCCAAGCUGAUACUGAAAACAAUCUUGGAGUAUCUAUAAAACUUACUGAUUCUUUUAGUCUUUAUUCUCAUUUUGUCUUCUGUUGUCUUUUCUCUGAACUUCCAGUCUACAGACCUUGGUAACAAGGGCCCCUCAAGGGUGAAUGUAGGGUUUCAGGAAUGUUUUGCCAGUUGCUUUAUGAUGAUUCUUCCCCAUACUUUGUCAGCUUAUACUUUCUGAAGUGCAAUUGCAUGUGAAAUCACUAGCCUUAAAUUGUUGACUAAAGACAGAGACUUAAUUAAUUCUGUGUAUAGCAUCUGCAAACCGAGUUAAAGCUGAGUGUUCAGACAUUUCAAAACACAGCUGCCCUAAGAAUCAGAUUGGUGUAAGAAUUUGAAGAUGAUGAGAGAGAGAAAUACAAAUAAAUAUUUUA